GUCUACGGCCAUGCUACCCUGAACAAGCCCGAUCCCAUCUGAUCUCAGAAGCUAAGCGGGGUCGGGCCUGGUUAGUACUUGGAUGGGAGACACCUAGGAAGACCAGGUGCUGAAGGCA
rnacentral:rRNA from 1 species